GUCCACCACCAACCACCGUCAACCACCACCGACCACCUUUGUCCUCCUCGUCCUAUAGGGCUCUCUCCGCCUCCUUCACCGCCGCCCCCUCGUCGUCGUCGUCGUCGUCGUCGUCCUCGACCACCUCCGAUCACCGCUAGCCGCCGCCAAACACCUCCUACCAUCUCCGUCCGACUCCUAGCACCCCCUACCGCCACUGGCCAACUCCUACCGCCGCCAACUACCCCCUACCACCUCCUGCCGUUUUCGAACACCUCCAACCACCUCCGACCACCGCCGACCUCCUUCGUCCUCUUCAUCCACCUCCUCCACACCCCGUCGUCGUCCACGUUGUCCUCGUCCUCCUCGACCUACUCCGAUCACCGCCAACCACCUCCAAACACCUCCUACAUAGACUGAAGCAUAUAUAGACAGUUGCCCUGAUGAGCUUUGGUGUGACAACCGAAAAUCAUCGUGCGCUUUCGCUCCCUGAGAUGUUCCAACUGUAGAGUUGAGAACUUAUUGCAGAACAUCAGAGGGUUACCGAUUUCGACAUGAUGCUGGCUGCAUUCACCUUCGGAGUCACACAGUCUUCGCAAUGAAAGUGACGUCACCAAAAUCCGUCAGUGACGUCGACCGCCAAAAUUCCUCAGUCUGGAAACAACCGCACAGUAGAGCGGACGGAUGAGAGUCGCGCUCCGCAAAUUUCGAGUACCGGGUUCUCAACCUCCCGGAUCCUGCGCUUCGGAUCCGCUACGUGGUGAAACUCGAGUUCCAGGACAAGUGCUCCGUAGUUUCUGCGCUCCGGGUCCACUACCUAGUGAAACUGGACUUCCAGAACAGGCACUCCGUAGUUUCUGCUCUCAAGGACAAGCGCUC